ACGUAUCUCUGGCGGGGUGCUCGCGCCGUGCUCCGGUCCCAAAGGCCGUGCAGCGGGCGCUGGUCCCCGUCCAACCUCCCAAACCCCUGUGCACUUUAACGGUGGAGGCGCUCCGGCGAGAGUCGGGUGCCGCAAGCCGUGCCUUUACAAACACGAAUCGAAAAGAAUGAUCAGCGGCUCAGAGUCGCCUAAAUACAAAA
rnacentral:misc_RNA from 1 species